CUCCACGCUUGAUUUCCACACAAUAUAUGCGGACGCCCACUUCUUCGAAUUGACAGACGACUUCCCACACAACACAGAGCGGCGAACGGCGAACGACGAACGAAUUCCACCCGACGAACGGCUUCCACGCGGCCAACGGCUUCCAUAGUGAACGGCUGCCACGACAAACGGCAAACAACAAACCUCUUCUUCGAAUUGACAGACGACUUCCCACACAACACAGAGCGGCGAACGGCGAACGACGAACGAAUUCCACCCGACGAACGGCUUCCACGCGGCCAACGGCUUCCAUAGUGAACGACUGCCACGAAAAACGGCAAACAACAAACCUCUUCCGCACGGCGAACUGCUUCCGCGUUCAAAGGUAUGUAAGUUCAACGGAUGAGGCCGAGAUGGCUUUCGUUCAUCUAAAGAUGUGGUUCCCCAUCAAGACAUUUGCUCAAGAAGUUACAAGAAGAUGCAGACCCUAGUUUGUUUUUGUGAUUUAUCAGAUUGAAGAGCCUUCUUUGAUCCUUCCAGGAAGAGUCCCCUUUCACUUUUUUUCCUUAGGCUGGUUACUUGGAUGCCUUUUGGCUUUACCUAUGAAUUACUUAGUAGUCAGUAUUUCAGAAUAAUGUUUAAUUAUGAAGAUUAGUUGGUUAGCUUCUUGGUUAUUCCGUAUCCUUUCAAUAGUAAUAAUAUUGAUGAUUAAAAUUUUAAAAAAAAGUGCUAAUGCAUUGAGUAAUGUUUAUCUGGUUAAUAAAAAAGAUGAUUCUUGAUGUUGAACCAUACCAAGGUCACCCUUAUUUAUUAUUUCAUACACUUGGUGUAGCAACUUUUGCUGUUCAGGUCGUGUUAGGGACAUUAGUCUGUGUACCCUUAAUACUUGGUAAAUAUAUCUCUUAUAACCUUCCCUUAA